GCCUCGGCGGGGCUCGCGCUCGGUGGAGGCGCCAAGAUGGCGGCGGGUCGCUGCUCCGGCUUCGCGUGGGGCGCCGGCCCACAGUCCAGCGCCCAGCCUCCGAUGGCUUUUCCCCUCCCGACCGCUGGAGCCAGCCUUGCCUCGGGCCCCGCUGCUGGAAUGGGUCCCACUAUGACCCCACCUUUCCCUGCAGCCACCCAGCCACCCGGGCCUGUCACCCCAGCGGGAUAUGGCGGGUACCAGCUCCACUCUAGCCAGCCCCAGGAGCCCGCCCUGGCACCCACCAUGGCCUCCUCCUACCAGGACAGUUCCCUCUACAGACCGUCGGCAGGUGCCAGUAGCUACAGUAGCUACGAGGACGGACAGUGUCACUUACCUGCCUCCAGCCAGCCUCAGCUCCCAGCCACUGCCACGCUCUGCCAGCCAGGGACUAAAGGAACUUCCAUCCAGCCCAGCGGAGGGGACAGCCAAGCCCUACAACCAGCGGCCACGGCCAAGGCAGGGCAGCCACCCGGCACCCUGGCCUCGAGCUGCAUGGAGAACUACACCUACCCGCUGGUGACCAGCACUCUGCCAGAGGCCUCUGUCUCUGCCCUGCCUUCCUACACCCCGACCUCCUACAGCCCCACCUCUGCCCCGGACAUGGGACCAAGCUACCUGGGCUACGAAGCAGCGGUGCACUCGGCGGCUGGUCCUCACUGCCCCCCACUGCCGCCCCUCCCGUUCCCGGAGCCCCCGGGCUCCCUGUGGGGCGGCUCAGGGAGCAGUCCCGGUGCCAGUUCUGCCGGCAGCUUCUCUGGGAAGCUACUGGCUCCCCCCAAACUGCCGAAACCUAAGGGCGGCCCCAGGGAGCCCCCGCUUCACUACUGUGACAUCUGCAAGAUCAGCUGCGCUGGUCCCCAGACUUACCGCGAGCACCUGGAGGGACAGAAGCACAAAAAGAGAGAGGCGGCCCAGAAGGCGGGCACGCAGCCCAAUGGCAGCCCGUGUGGGGUGCAGGCACAGCUGCGCUGCAGCCUGUGUGCCGUGUCAUGCACGGGGGCAGAAGCCUACGCCGCUCACAUCCGGGGGGCCAGGCACCAGAAGGUCCUCAAGCUGCACACUCAGCUGGGGAAGCCCAUCCCUGCCAUAGAACCAGUGCCAGGGGACUCCAGCUCGGCCCAGGCCACCUGUACCAGCAAGCCAGCCCCUCUCACCACGGAGAAUCUCUCCACGGCCUCUGCCAAGCCCACAGCCCCUGCUGGCCCCAGCAUGUGCACCCUGAGCAAGCCAGCACUAGCCAAGAGACCAGCUUUGAAGGCCACGUGUGUGGGGCCUUCCAAGCCGCAGGCAGCAGGCAGCAGACCCCCAGAGGGCAAGCGGGCACACCCCAUACCAGACAGGCCUAGAGAUCCGCCCACCCGAGGAGGCUCUGCAGAAGCUUCUGGAAGCUGUGAGGCGCAGCCAGUGGGCCCAGGCUACGUGGAAGAGGUGUGCAAUGAGGAAGGCAAGGUGAUCCGGUUCCACUGCAGGCUGUGUGAGUGCAGUUUUGGCGACCCCACGGCCAGGGACACGCAUGUGCGGGGACGGCGACAUCGGCUGCAGUACAAGAAAAAAGUGAACCCUGACCUUCCGAUUGCACUGAAGCCCAGCCACAGAACCCAGAAGCUCCUGGAGGCCAGGCUGAGGAAGCAGAGGCAGCUGACCAAGAAGCGGCUUGAGGAGAUGCGACGCUGGCGCCACGAGCUGUGCAGGAGACGCCUGGAGGAGGGGCCCCAGGCCCAGGAUGAGCACCCCGGACCCCCAUCACCUGACCAGCACCCUCCUUCCCUCAAGAGCAGGCCAGGGGCGCCUGCCGGCUCAGCUCUGUCCACGUGGCGGGAGACCAGCGAUGACCGGCACGUCCUGUGUAAGCACGCCGCCAUCUACCCCACGGAGGAGGAGCUCCUGGCCGUCCAGAAGGCCGUCUCCCACUCAGAGCGUGCCCUCAAGCUGGUGUCUGACACUCUGGCCGAGGACAGCUCCGGGAGCCCGGAGCACGCGGGUGGUGAGCACAGCGGCGGCUCCUCCUCAGCUCGGGUCCUGAAGGGCGUGAUGCGGGUCGGCCUCCUGGCAAAGGGCCUCCUCCUGCGGGGAGACAGGACGGUGCAGCUGACCCUGCUCUGCUCGCAGAAGCCCACUCGCGCCUUGCUGCGGAGAAUCUCGGAGCAGCUGCCCCGCCAGCUCCCGAUGGUGACAGAAGAUAAGUAUGAGGUCUCCUCUGACUCUGAAGACAGCGUCAUCAUUUCCUCCUGUGAGGAGCCCAGGAUGAAGGUCAUUGUGUGUGUCACCUCGCCCCUGAUGCGGGAGGACUCCUCUGUGGACCAAGAAGGAGUGCAGGUGCCUCAGCCCAACCCCGACGACAUCCUGAGCCCAGAGAAGUGCCUGCAGUCACUGGCCGCCCUCCGCCAUGCCAAGUGGUUCCAGGCUCGAGCCAGCGGCCUGCAGUCGUGUGUGAUCGUCCUCAGGGUCCUUCGUGACCUCUGCCAGCGUGUGCCCACGUGGGGCGCCCUGCCAGACUGGGCCCUGGAGCUGCUGGUGGAGAAGGCUCUGAGCAGCGCAUGUGGGCGCCUGAACCCUGGGGACGGCUUGAGGCGUGUCCUGGAGUGCGUGGCCUCGGGGACACUCCUGCCAGAUGGGCCUGGGCUCCAGGAUCCCUGCGAGAGAGACCAGAGGGACACCCUCGAGUCCAUGACCCCCCAGCAGCGCGAGGACCUCACGGCCACUGCCCAGUUGUUCAACACAGUGUUUAUCGAACUACAGUCACUCGCGUGGCUUCCCCAUGGCUCCCACCAAGAGUGUUGAAAUGUGUUCAAUAUUCAAUCAGCAAGCACUCACCGCCUUCCGUGAGGGGACCCAAAGACGACCCAGACCCUGUAACUCGUGCAGGGAGGGUGACUCCGGGCUCUAGUGUCAGUGUGGCCCUUGGACAUAUUAGCUGUGGGGUGUCACCUCCCCGAGCCUCUAUAAAGCUGAAUUUCAACUACUAGCACCCAGGUUGCAGAGCUGGGGGGAGAACUCAGUGAUAAAAUGUAUUUUUUCACACCUGCUGCCCAGAAAGGGUCAGCCUCAGAGUUAUAGGUGUGGCAGAGGGCAAGUGUGAAGGUGGAAACCAGCAAUCGAGAUGAAAGUCACAAAGUCACACAUGGAACAGUGGCCCCUUCAUCUUUAGAACACCAGCCGCGGGGCUGUGAGAAAGACCCUGCAGAUGUUGCUGGUGUUUGGGACUCGCCUACAGUGGCUAGUGCCUCAGACUCAAACCAGAGUGAAGCCACCCCAACGGCAAGGGGCCCCCCUGUCAGCUCUGCAGCACAUGCCUCAAAAAUUCUAGCAGCUAGUGAGAGACUAAAACCCAAAAGGAGAAGAAAAAAGUAACUUGUUGGAGGAAAGAGACAAUGAGUUGCAGAGAAACCCUCGAGUAGGUUAAUCCUCAGGUCUCAGGAGACACAGCGAUCAGGAAGCAGCUUUUGGAAAAAGAACACCGAGGGGUGCCUGGCUGGUUCAGUCGGGGGAGCAUGCGACUCUUGAUCUCAGGAGAGUGGGUUGAAGCCCUGCGUUGGGUGUAGAGAUGUCCUAAAAAUCUUUAAGAAAAAGAACAUUCAAUGGACAAGAAACAGCCCUUGGAAAUUAAAAACCUGAUAGUCAAGAUGGAAAUGUUGACAGGCUUGGAAGAAAAAGUAGAAUGAGGAGACAAAAUGAAAAAAAGGUAGGCAAGAAAAUUAGAAGAUCAACCCAGGAAGGCCAACACAUGUCAAAGAAGAGUUCCACAGAGGAGACACCAAGGUCGAAGAUAUCACCAGUGAUGUCAUUCUAGGAAGUUUGCGGGGAAUGGAAGACAUGAUACAGCCCCACUAAAUAUCCAGCACCACAGGCGAAGAAAAGACCCACACCAAACCCACACUUUGAAAGUGCAGGAUGAGGAGAAUAAGAAGAUUCUACAAGCUUCCCCAAGAGAGAGAAGACAACAUGAUGAGCAGACAAUGAGGAAAGAGGAUUGGCUUCAGGCUGUUCAACUGCCCAAGACUGGAAGCUGGAAGACACAAGGCAAAGGAAAUUAGCCCCCACCCAGCACAGCGUCCUCAGCCAAACCACCAUCACAGAAGAGUACGGAGAGAGAAUACCUUCUCUGGAAAUGCCUAGAGGGCUCACAUUCCCAAAACAAGGGCACAGACCAAGAAACAGGGAGACCCGGACCCAAGAAACAGGAGCUACAUCCCAGAAAUACCCACGUGCCAAAAAAGAAGGGCCAGGGGUACAGCUGGGCUGCAGCUGGCCCUGAGUGGAGAAGUUUCUUCCAUCAGAAUGGCUGGAGGUACAGAGGCCACAGCAAUGAAUGACACAGUCCAAAAUCCCUGCCCUCGGGGGAGCUGAUGUUCGAGAGAGGAUGCGGCCAGCAACAAGAAAAACAAACAGCAUAUAUGGUCAGUUAGACUACGGGAGCUCUGCAGAGCUCCAAGGGGCGGGGACGUGAAGUGUCAGCACGUUGCAAUAUUCUGUAAGGUAUGUCUGGGGAAGUGCCCCGGCAGAAGGCACAGCUGAGGCAAAGGCCCUGGGGUGGGAACAGGGCUUUGAGGAAGCUUCUUUGCCUCCCCCUGCCCUGCCCUGCCCUGCCACGCUGUAAAGACUACAUUUCCCAGCUUCCCCUGCUACUGAUUUUGACCUCGUGGCUAAGUUCCAUCCAGUGGAAUGAAGCAAAGGUGUCACCGUGAAUCUUCCAGGAAGAGGCUUUAUGUAUUUAUUUAUUUUUUUAAAUUUUUAUGUUUUAAAGAUUUUCAUGAGAGACACAGAGAGAGAGAGGCAGAGACACAGGCAGAGGGAGAAGCAGGAACCGGAUGCAGGACUCGAUCCCAGGACGCCGGGAUCACAACCUGAGCCAAAGGCAGACGCUCAACCACUCACACACACACACACCCUGCCCCGGGCAUCCCCAGGAAGAGGCCUUAAGGAGAAGAGGUGAACCUUUCCCCCCCUAGUUUCCUGCUUCCUGUUGGCUGGAAUGCACAUGGGAGGGCUGGAGCUUGAGCAGCCCUCUUAGCGCAAGAGAUGGAAGUUCGCGUGCUAUGAAAGGCAGAGCAGCAAGACGGCAGGAGCCCCGGUUCCUGACAUUGCCCAGGAGCACACCCCUCAGAGAUUUACCUUCUGUCUAGUUCAAGCCUCUCGCACUUGGGGGUCCUCCGUCCGUAACUGACCGAUGCACUAUGUGAAGGGCAGGUCACAUGACCCCCCCUGUUCAUUGCCUACGUUGACCUUCAUCCGUAUUAGUAAAGAAGAAGAAACGAGCUCUGCCUUUGAGAAGCUUACAGCCCCCCUGAGUGGAGUCCGCAGGCCUGGUGUGUAGCCCCGGCCAGCUGCGUGAGCAGGGACUAGUCGCUUUGCCUCUCUGGAACUCAGCUGCUCCAAUUCCAGAAGGAGGGGAUCGGCCCCCCCAACUCCCCACCCAAAUCGCAACAGCCCAAACAGGAGAAAGGAUUCAGCCCCUGCCGUCUUGCUGAUGUAGGGGAGACGUGAGGGUUCGAAGCUGACGGCCCACAAAGAAUCCUUGAGACGUCUUUGAUGCAAGAAGGUGGAUUUAUUAAAGUGCGAGGCCCGGGGCCCGUGGGCAGAAAGAGCUGCCCAUUAUGGGGUCAGGAGGAUGGCCCAUGAUACACUCUCAAGCUGAGAGCGGGUUAGGGAGAGUGUAAGCCUCCCAGGUAUUUUGGGAACAAGGUUUCCCGGAUCCCGAGGGGGCUAGCUAUUGUUGGGAAAGAUCAUUUAUUAUUAUUUAGCAAAAACUCAGUCAUGAUACCCUUCAGAUAGACGUCGGGGGGGGGUCAUAUGCUUGGUGGAUGAUCGCUCGGAGGGUGAUAUCUUGGGGGGUAAAGAUAAAGGAAGUUUCCAAAGGGAUUUUUUUUUUAAAUAG